rnacentral:rRNA from 1 species
GGGAGUACGGUCGCAAGACUGAAACUCAAAGGAAUUGACGGGGGCCCGCACAAGCGGUGGAGUAUGUGGUUUAAUUCGAUGCAACGCGAAGAACCUUACCUGGUCUUGACAUGUCGAGAACUUUCCAGAGAUGGAUUGGUGCCUUCGGGAACUCGAACACAGGUGCUGCAUGGCUGUCGUCAGCUCGUGUCGUGAGAUGUUGGGUUAAGUCCCGCAACGAGCGCAACCCUUGUCCUUAGUUGCCAGCACGUAAUGGUGGGAACUCUAAGGAGACCGCCGGUGACAAACCGGAGGAAGGUGGGGAUGACG